GAAGAGUUCAGAGAAGCCGUGACAGGGUUUGUUGCAAGGUAUACCUUUGAAAAUCCUGACACUGACCGCAUUGAUUGCCAUCUUAAAAACUUGUUUGAUGAUUUAAUCAAACGUACAGCAUACACCUAUAACAUCACAAGGACGCUGGGCAUUGACAGAGUGUCUGAACAACGUGAUGCUGCUCAGUACUUCGAGA